UACAGAGGUCCCAAGCGUUGUUCGGAUUCACUGGGCGUAAAGGGUGCGUAGGCGGUCGGGUAAGUCUGAUGUGAAAUCUCCGGGCCUAACCCGGAAACUGCAUCGGAUACUAUUCGGCUGGAGGGUUGGAGGGGGGACUGGAAUACUUGGUGUAGCAGUGAAAUGCGUAGAUAUCAAGUGGAACACCAGUGGCGAAGGCGAGUCCCUGGACAACUCCUGACACUGAGGCACGAAAGCUAGGGGAGCAAACAGG
rnacentral:rRNA from 1 species